rnacentral:rRNA from 1 species
GAUGAACGCUGGCGGCGUGCUUAACACAUGCCAGUCGAACGGAAAGGCCCAAGCUUGCUUGGGUACUCGAGUGGCGAACGGGUGAGUAACACGUGGGUGAUCUGCCCUGCACUUCGGGAUAAGCCUGGGAAACUGGGUCUAAUACUGGAUAGGACCACUUCUUGGAUGGUGUGGUGGAAAGUUUUUUCGGUGUGGGAUGAGCUCGCGGCCUAUCAGCUUGUUGGUGGGGUAAUGGCCUACCAAGGCGUCGACGGGUAGCCGGCCUGAGGGGGUGUACGGCCACAUUGGGACUGAGAUACGGCCCAGACUCCUACGGGAGGCAGCAGUGGGGAAUAUUGCACAAUGGGCGCAAGCCUGAUGCAGCGACGCCGCGUGGGGGAUGACGGCCUUCGGGUUGUAAACUCCUUUCGCUAGGGACGAAGCGUUUUUGUGACGGUACCUGGAGAAGAAGCACCGGCUAACUACGUG